rnacentral:rRNA from 1 species
GGAGAAGGCUAUGUCAGCCGGGCGACGGUUGUCCCGGUUUAAGCAUGUAGGCGGAGGUUCCAGGUAAAUCCGGUACCUUGUUAACGCUGAGGUGUGAUGACGAGGCACUACGGUGCUGAAGUGAUAAAUGCCCUGCUUCCAGGAAAAGCCUCUAAGCAUCAGGUAACACGAAAUCGUACCCCAAACCGACACAGGUGGUCAGGUAGAGAAUACCAAGGCGCUUGAGAGAACUCGGGUGAAGGAACUAGGCAAAAUGGUGCCGUAACUUCGGGAGAAGGCACGCUGAUGUGUAGGUGAAGCCCCUGCGGGCGGAGCUGAAAUCAGUCGAAGAUACCAGCUGGCUGCAACUGUUUAUUAAAAACACAGCACUGUGCAAACACGAAAGUGGACGUAUACGGUGUGACGCCUGCCCGGUGCCGGAAGGUUAAUUGAUGGGGUUAGCGGCAACGCGAAGCUCUUGAUCGAAGCCCCGGUAAACGGCGGCCGUAACUAUAACGGUCCUAAGGUAGCGAAAUUCCUUGUCGGGUAAGUUCCGACCUGCACGAAUGGCGUAAUGAUGGCCAGGCUGUCUCCACCCGAGACUCAGUGAAAUUGAACUCGCUGUGAAGAUGCAGUGUACCCGCGGCAAGACGGAAAGACCCCGUGAACCUUUACUAUAGCUUGACACUGAACACUGGUCCUUGAUGUGUAGGAUAGGUGGGAGGCUUUGAAGCGUGGACGCCAGUCUGCGUGGAGCCAACCUUGAAAUACCACCCUUUAAUGGCUGGUGUUCUAACGUAGACCCGUAAUCCGGGUUGCGGACAGUGUCUGGUGGGUAGUUUGACUGGGGCGGUCUCCUCCCAAAGAGUAACGGAGGAGCACGAAGGUUGGCUAAUCCUGGUCGGACAUCAGGAGGUUAGUGCAAUGGCAUAAGCCAGCUUGACUGCGAGCGUGACGGCGCGAGCAGGUGCGAAAGCAGGUCAUAGUGAUCCGGUGGUUCUGAAUGGAAGGGCCAUCGCUCAACGGAUAAAAGGUACUCCGGGGAUAACAGGCUGAUACCGCCCAAGAGUUCAUAUCGACGGCGGUGUUUGGCACCUCGAUGUCGGCUCAUCACAUCCUGGGGCUGAAGUAGGUCCCAAGGGUAUGGCUGUUCGCCAUUUAAAGUGGUACGCGAGCUGGGUUUAGAACGUCGUGAGACAGUUCGGUCCCUAUCUGCCGUGGGCGCUGGAGAAUUGAGGGGGGCUGCUCCUAGUACGAGAGGACCGGAGUGGACGCAUCACUGGUGUUCGGGUUGUCAUGCCAAUGGCACUGCCCGGUAGCUAAAUGCGGAAGAGAUAAGUGCUGAAAGCAUCUAAGCACGAAACUUGCCCCGAGAUGAGUUCUCCCUGAGACUUUAAGUCUCCUGAAGGAACGUUGAAGACGACGACGUUGAUAGGUCGGGUGUGUAAGCGCAGCGAUGCGUUGAGCUAACCGAUACUAAUGAACCGUGAGGCUUAACCUU